rnacentral:rRNA from 1 species
GACGAACGCUGGCGGCGUGCUUAACACAUGCAAGUCGAACGGAAAGGCCCUGCUUUUGUGGGGUGCUCGAGUGGCGAACGGGUGAGUAACACGUGAGUAACCUGCCCUUGACUUUGGGAUAACUUCAGGGAACUGGGGCUAAUACCGGAUAGGAGCUCCUGCUGCAUGGUGGGGGUUGGAGAGUUUCGGCGGUUGGGGAUGGACUCGCGGCUUAUCAGCUUGUUGGUGGGGUAGUGGCUGACCAAGGCUUUGACGGGUAGGCGGCCUGAGAGGGUGACCGGCCACAUUGGGACUGCGAUACGGCCCAGACUCCUACGGGAGGCAGCAGUGGGGAACAUUGCACAAUGGGCGGAAGCCUGAGGCAGCAACGCCGCGUGCGUGAUGACGGCCUUCGGGUUGUAAACCGCUUUCGCCGGUGACGAAGCGGGAGUGACGGUAAUGGGUAAAGAAGCACCGGCUAACUACGUG